AUGGAUCUUGUUCUUGCCUCUGUCUUUACGCCUGAGGAAAAGGAGGCUCAGAGAGUGAGGCCACCUCCUCAAGGUGCACAGCCACUUAGUGUCAGUGCUUGGACCCACCCUAGGCGCCUGGACUCCUUGUGGAAUGUUCUCCCUCCUCCUUGUCCACCUCCUCCUCAUUUGCAGUUAUCCAGACACAGAACUGCUGAGAAUGUCUUUUGUUUCUUUAUUUUGAAACGCAGUCUUGCUCCGUUGCUCAAGCUGAAGUGCAGUGGCGCGAUCUCGGCUCACUGCAGCCUCCACCUCCCGAGUUCAAGCAAUUCUCCUGCCUCAGCCUCCCGUAGCUGGGAUUACAGGCGUGAGCCACCACGCCCGGCCAUUUUAUUUAUUCAUUUGUCAUUUAGUUAUUUAUUACUGGACACCUAGGUUGCUUCCCUAUCUGGGCUGUUGUGAGCAUGGAAUCAGCUGCCUCUCCUAGGUGGUGAUUUUUCUCUUUUGGGUAUAUACCCAGAAGGAGGACUGCUGGAUCAUGGGUAGUUCUAUUUUUGAUUUCUUUACGUGGUUCCCAGUUCGCAUUGCCACUUCCUUUUCCUUGGAGAGAUGAGUAGGAGACAGGCUGAGGAUACCCAUGAGCUGGAAGAGAGCCCUGCUGCCCACAGCUUGCACCCUAAACCCCAGGCUCCACAGCUUUCCGCCCCAGUUGCCUCCCGUGGCCUCCCUUCCUCCAGAGGAAGGAGAAGAUGGGAGGGAUUUGCUAUGAGAAAAGUAUUUUCCCCAAACAAUUACCAGGAAAUACUGUCUUGACUGAUAAUCCUGACCUGUGCUGUCCUCUUGGCAGAGUUACUGGAAGGCUUAUUACACCUCGCGAAUGCUGACGGAGCACAGUUCUCAGGCGGAAUGGCCUACCCUGCACAGCCGCAAGGCAUCUUGGUUGUCCCUGACAGGUGACAGGUGCGCUCUCCACACCCCUCUGUUGGCCAACCUUGACCUUGAGCAGGGCCCCGGCUGGCCCUCCCAGCUUGCUUGCUGGUGGGAGGCCAUUCUCUGCUGACUCAGGCCCAGACUGGGGCAGGUGCAUGCCUUCCACCCCAUGAGUAACACCGGCUUUUCAUCUUCAAAGGGCCUUCCCAAGAUGAACCAAUUAGUCAUCCCAGGAGAGCUACAAAGCAGGUUAUUACUGUGUUGAUGAAGCCCAGUGGAGGAGGGAAGCAAGUGGAGUCCCCACCCCAGGCCAGUGAGAAAACUGGCAGAGGAGGUGACAGCCAUGCGGGAUUCCCUGGGGUGUUGGGGUGGGGAACCAACCGAAGGCAGGUAAAGUGGAGGCUGGAGCUUCUCACUGGUCGGGGCAGGAGAGACCAAGGGAGCAUGUGGGGAAGGCCUGGAGAGGCUGAGGUCGACAGAAAAGGGCAUAUUACUGAAACCACAGCCAGUGGAUGAAGAGACAAUUUGGCCUAAACGGACUCACGGAGGCCUCUACCCUAUGUUCCUUUUUAUUUUAAAUUAAAUUUUUUUUAAAGAGAUGGGGUUUGAUCAUGUUUGCCAGGCUGGUCUCGAAUUCCCGAACUCAGGUGAUUUGCCCACUUCUGGCCUCCCAAAGUGCUGGGAUUACAGGCGUGAGCCACCAUGCCUGGCCCCCUAUGUUCUAAAGAAUUCAGAAAACUGCUGCAGAUUGCACUGCUGCCUGAAUCACUCUGCGUCUUGGAGCACCCAGAUAUUUGUGAAAUGAGUCUGGAACACUUUCCUUUUUGUAUCUGUGUGAGGAUUUUGAUGGACUAAAAAUGGCCACAACACAAGUCAUUCAAGCUUGUUGCAAAUAAAAAGUGUGCUGUGAAAGCUGAGAAGAGGAAGAGGUGGCACUGUCUGGUUGACUCUGAACCACAGGCAUGUCCCCUUUAAUGCAGAAAGGUAGAGGGUUUCGAAAGGUAAAUCCAAGUGCUGGUGACAGAGUGAGAACCGAAGCACCUUCUGGAAGCCAGACAGCUGAGCGAACCUUUGGUCAAUGCCGCCUGCAGCUGCUUUUUAUAAACUUGGCAUAAAUAUGUGCUUGGGAAUGCCAGGACAGUGUGUCUGGAAAAUAUUUUCUACCUUUAGAAAACACACACAACACACACACCCCACACAACACACAUGCACACACAACACAGACAUGUACACAGCACACAAUGCAAUACACAUGCACACAACAUACUACACAUG
rnacentral:lncRNA from 1 species